rnacentral:tRNA from 1 species
GGCAGCAUGGUAGAGUGGUUAAUACGUAAGACUUGAAAUCUUAUGCCUUCGGGCGCGCAGGUUCGAACCCUGCUGCUGUCG